rnacentral:rRNA from 1 species
GACGAACCGUGCGAACGUCGUUCGGAAUCACUGGGCUUAAAGGGCGCGUAGGCGGGUCAUCAAGUCCGGGGUGAAAGCCCCCAGCUUAACUGGGGAAGGGCCUUGGAUACUGAUGGUCUGGAGGGGGGUAGGGGCAGUGGGAACUUCCGGUGGAGCGGUGAAAUGCGUUGAUAUCGGAAGGAACGCCGGUGGCGAAAGCGCACUGCUGGACCUUUUCUGACGCUGAGGCGCGAAAGCCAGGGGAGCAAACGGG